UUUGGUGGCGAUAGCGAAGAGGUCACACCCGUUCCCAUGCCGAACACGGAAGUUAAGCUCUUCAGCGCCGAUGGUAGUCGGGGGUUUCCCCCUGUGAGAGUAGGACGGCGCCAAGC
rnacentral:rRNA from 1 species